rnacentral:rRNA from 1 species
UACGUAGGGGCCGAGCGUUGUCCGGAGUUAUUGGGCGUAAAGCGCGCGCAGGCGGCCUCGCGCGCCCGACGUGAAAGCCCCCGGCUUAACCGGGGAGGGUCGUUGGGGACGGCGGGGCUUGAGGGCGGGAGAGGUCGGUGGAAUUCCCGGUGUAGUGGUGAAAUGCGUAGAGAUCGGGAGGAACACCUGUGGCGAAGGCGGCCGACUGGGCCGACCCUGACGCUGAGGCGCGAAAGCAUGGGGAGCGAACAGG